rnacentral:rRNA from 1 species
GACGAACGCUGGCGGCGUGCUUAACACAUGCAAGUCGAACGCUGAAGCUCAGCUUUUGUUGGGUGGACGAGUGGCGAACGGGUGAGUAACACGUGAGUAACCUGCCCCCUUCUUUGGGAUAACGCCCGGAAACGGGUGCUACUACUGGAUAUUCACUGGUCUUCGCCUGGGGGUGGGUGGAAAGGGUCUCUCUGGUGGGGGAUGGGCCCGCGGCCUAUCAGCUUGUUGGUGGGGUGAUGGCCUACCAAGGCUUUGACGGUUAGCCGGCCUGAGGGGGUGCCCGGUAACAUAGGGACGGUGAUGCGGCCCAGACUCCGCCGCGGGGCAGCAGUGGGGACUAUUGGAGAAAGGGCGAAAGAGUGAUGCAGCGACGCCGCGUGAGGGAUGGAGGCCUUAGGGUUGUGAACCUCUUGAGCUAAUGGUCAAGCCGCAACAAUGGUUGUAGUGACGGUAGUGGGUAAAGAAGCGCCGGCUAACUACGUG